rnacentral:rRNA from 3 species
CCUGGCGGCCGUAGCGCGGUGGUCCCACCUGACCCCAUGCCGAACUCAGAAGUGAAACGCCGUAGCGCCGAUGGUAGUGUGGGGUCUCCCCAUGCGAGAGUAGGAAACUGCCAGGC